ACGCUCGACACCUACGGAGGCAGCAGUGGGGAAUAUUGCACAAUGGGGGAAACCCUGAUGCAGCAACGCCGCGUGAAGGAAGACGGUUUUCGGAUUGUAAACUUCUGUUCUUAGUGAAGAUAGUGACGGUAGCUAAGGAGCAAGCCACGGCUAACUACGUGCAAGCACGCCGGACGGUAAUCUGAGGCGGGCUGGACGAAGGC
rnacentral:rRNA from 1 species